GACGAACGCUGGCGGCGUGCCUAAUACACGCAAGUCGAGCGAAUGGAUUAAGAGCUUGCUCUUAUGAAGUUAGCGGCGGACGGGUGAGUAACACGUGGGUAACCUGCCCAUAAGACUGGGAUAACUCCGGGAAACCGGGGCUAAUACCGGAUAACAUUUUGAACCGCAUGGUUCGAAAUUGAAAGGCGGCUUCAGCUGUCACUUAUGGAUGGACCCGCGUCGCAUUAGCUAGUUGGUGAGGUAACGGCUCACCAAGGCAACGAUGCGUAGCCGACCUGAGAGGGUGCUCGGCCACACUGGGACUGAGACCCGGCCCAGACUCCUACGGGAGGCAGCAGUAGGGAAUCUUCCGCAAUGGACGAAAGUCUGACGGAGCAACGCCGCGUGAGUGAUGAAGGCUUUCGGGUCGUAAAACUCUGUUGUUAGGGAAGAACAAGUGCUAGUUGAAUAAGCUGGCACCUUGACGGUACCUAACCAGAGAGCCACGGCUAACUACGUGCCAGCCGCCGCCGUAA
rnacentral:rRNA from 1 species